UCGCCCAUUAAAGCGGUACGCGAGCUGGGUUCAGAACGUCGUGAGACAGUUCGGUCCCUAUCCGUCGUGGGCGUAGGAAAUUUGAGAGGAGCUGUCCUUAGUACGAGAGGACCGGGAUGGACAUACCUCUGGUGUACCAGUUGUCGUGCCAACGGCAUAGCUGGGUAGCUAUGUGUGGACGGGAUAAGUGCUGAAAGCAUCUAAGCAUGAAGCCCCCCUCA
rnacentral:rRNA from 1 species